AUGGAGCCUGCCCCAACUGUGAAGCUCCAAUCCAUCCCAGAAGAACUUACCCAACCUUGCCUUGAAACUCAAACUCCUGGAAUCCCAGGAGGUCAUACCCUCUGUGACAUCUGUAUGAUUCUCUACUAUUCAUUGGAUUGCCCAACUCUAACUUUUGCCCAUUGUUCUGAUCCGGAGGCAAGCUCGCUGAUCUCUCUGUCUCCACAACUAGGUGCUUCUGGAAACAACAUCCAUCCCACUUUCACGAUAUUUUGACUACAAUUGAUUAUUGGCACCAUUAUCAAUAUAAACGGUGACCGAAGGAGUCUAUCAGAUGCACCUAAUAAAGUUAAAUGCACUAAAACA
rnacentral:lncRNA from 1 species